UACGUAGGGUGCGGAGCGUUAAUCGGAAUUACUGGGCGUAAAGCGUGUACGGCAGGCGGUUCGUUAAGUUCGUUGUGAAAGCCCCGGGCUCAAGCCUGGGAACUGCAAUGGAAACUGGCGGGCUUGAAUGCGGCAGAGGGGGGGGUGGAAGUUCCGCGUGUAGCAGUGAAAUGCGUAGAGAUGCGGAGGAACACCGAUGGCGAAGGCAGCCCCUGGGCCGACAUUGACGCUCAGGCACGAAAGCGUGGGGAGCAAACCGG
rnacentral:rRNA from 1 species